UACGUAGGGGGCAAGCGUUGUCCGGAUUUAUUGGGCGUAAAGAGCGUGUAGGCGGCCAGGUAGGUCAGCUGUGAAAACUCGAGGCUCAACCUCGAGACGUCGGUUGAAACCAUCUGGCUAGAGUCCGGAAGAGGAGAGUGGAAUUCCUGGUGUAGCGGUGAAAUGCGCAGAUAUCAGGAAGAACACCCGUGGCGAAGGCGGCUCUCUGGGACGGUACUGACGCUGAGACGCGAAAGCGUGGGGAGAGAACAGG
rnacentral:rRNA from 1 species